AAUCACCAAGCUUGAGGUUUUCUAGUUCUAGAAAAUUAAUGGUGACAUACCUGUUGGGGCAUAAGCCCACGGAAAGUAGUAGAAACAACCCAAUUUAAAUAUUGAGAAGGAACCAUUUGGGUCUUGUAUUAUACCCAACUGAUUCUCACACGGUUGUCUUGUCUUAUGUUUGUCUCUCACAAAGAUAAGUUGAGGUGUGAGUACGAGGGUGAGAUACCAUGGCAUCUCGAGAAUCCUAGACCCUAGACUCCAGUCACUAGUUGGGAUCCAAGCAGAGUACUAAGGGUAUGCUAACAGCUAGGUUUAAUUAUGUUGAGGCUUGAGGUGUUCUUAGAAUUAUUUAGCGUGUCAGGUUGAGCGUAUGCAAGCGAGCCACGCCAAGCUACGCACAUGACUGACAUGAGAGGGGGAGGACAUGCUACAUGGGGCCAAGCAUAUGGGUGACCUAUCAAGCCUCUAGACACACCUCUUUGGCCUAGUUUUAAAAAAGGGCAGUGAGAUUGUAAGGUGAUUUAAGUUUCAGGGUUCAAGUGAGAGCCGCGGGAGGGUGACACUCUGUCUACUCGUGUUAGGAGGCUCCCAAGGAGGUGGCACGAACUUGCCACGUGGAGCUAAAUAUGGUUGUUUCUACAUUAUCCCAGUGUGCAUACUUCCCGCACAAAUAAGAGAGCCCGUGCAUAUUUCUCAUGCGUUGGGCUGCGUACGUUUGUAUGUGGGGACCCAACUAAGCAAAUUUUGAAGGAGAUCGAGGCCGCAUCUAAUAGUGGGAGUUCAUUCCCUAGAGUUUCAUUUAAGUUUCAUCUUUCAAAUAUCAGAUUGUGGCGAUUUUCAUUCGUUCUUCCAUACAUGGCUUUCAUCUAAGGAUACGAUACAUCAAUGCUUGAGGUCUUCAAGAACAAGGAUUUUGUGCUCAAUGGGGAUGCUAAAAUUUUCCCGCAAUCACUAGCAACCCUUAAUAUGGUCAACCACAACAAGGCAUUGGUCAAACUAUGGUCUCUUUGUGAGCACUAGCUCUCAAAUCGUUAUUUGACUGGGGAGAAAAUAGCCCCCUGCUUGAAGACGUGAUGGAGCUGAACCGUUGGUUGGCACUCAAACAAAAUACUUCACACGCGUCCGCAUAGAAAAACAAAGAGCUUACUGGAUCGGUGGAAGAAUGAGCCCAAGGUACCUCAGGUAUCGUCGUCUAAGUAGUUGUGACCCUGCCAACCAGUGGACUUUUAGGAUGUUAGCUCUCUAUAUCUUGUGAACCCCAAUUAUUGCACGAUAUCAUGAGAAGAUAGGAAGGGUUUCCUUGCAUGCCAUCCAUGUCACAGUAACUAUCAUCAAGGGUCAGCAGUGCGGCGAGCACAUGGUUUGGCAUGGUUCAGAUCAUCCCACAACAGAAAUACUAAAUGAACUAAACCUUCAAUUCAGAACUUGCACAGAAACCUAGUGAAACUGAACAACACCAAACCCGAGAUACUCAAAUCAGUUCAUUUUCAAUGCAAUUUUGAACUUUUAAAGCACGUUUUAGCACAAAAGUAUAGUUCUAGAGGUCAUAUUUGGAGUUUGCAAGAUCACUAAACCAACAGCCCAACAGUCAAUCAGCAGGAACUCUUCUGUCCCAAGCAAUGCAGGAUUUAUAUUUUCUAUUUAAUUCUCUGAAGCCAUCUCUCCUCUCACUCUCUCUCAGGCCCCACAAGGUAGAUAGUCCCCCAAAGGAGUCAGGCCACUGCAUUUUACAAGUUGGAUUUGGUUUGGGUCCCACGUUGGUUCAGUUUUUUUUUUAAUUCCCAAUCUUGGACGAACCUGAGGAAGUUGUUCUCAAAUAUUUUUAUGGGCUUGAGAUCAACUGUGGGAGCAAAGAACCAAAUUCAACGUCACUGGGACAAAUCACGCCAUUAGCAGUAUCCAGCGAAUGGGAUGAAAUCUCUCAAUUUUUCAUAGGUUUUAUGUACUGAAAUUUCUUACCACAACAAAAUUUCAACCUAGGGUGUCCCAUGGAUUGGACUAUUGGACAAAUUAAUGUACCAUCUACUUCAAAUUUGGCAAACAAAAUACGCUUAGAUAGCACAUAUAGUUGAGGUUGGAUGGUUGGUAGAAUGUGAAUCACAGAAGCUGCAUGACAACAGUAAGUUUGACACUAGGUAUAAAUUGACUUCAGCCACACACACACACAAAAAAAACAUCUAUAUAUGUUUUACCCUAUCGUUAUAAAUACGAUCAUCGAGUUCGGUCAUUGUGUCACCUCUAUUAUGGUCUACGACCACAUUCCUCCAUAGGGCCUCAAAGUAGCAUAUCAACGGGUUAGAAUGUUAGGUUAGCACAAUCGAGUGUUCGAUACUUUUCCUGUUUUCCAUAAGCUCGAACCCCAAAGCAACACCCCCAGGUAUCGUCAUCUACUCGUGGAUUUACAAGAUAUAGAGAGGCAACCUUAAGACAACAUCAAUACCACCUUUUUUCCUCUUUUUGAUUUUGUUAAUCGAUAGAAGGUUCAUUAGAAGCACUUCCUACCCUGAAACUUUGACAUUGAAUUAAAUGCUUGCAGUGAGGAGUGUCUCUCAGCUCGUUUGUCUAGGACGAUGACUCGUGUCUUGGUGGUUGAUGAUUUCACGCCUUGUUCGUACAUAGAGGAGCACUAAUGUGUUACUACUUUCUAAAUUUGCUAGGGGAUAAUAAGCUGGAUUUCUUCAUAUCAUGAGCUCUCCUCAUUGGAUAAUAAGCUAUUAUGAAUUUAUGAUGAUGAUGGUUUACGUACUUCAGUGAUUGUACCUACAGGGGAUAGUGAUGACAUUCCACAGUGGGUGGUCCAUAAGUUUGGGUAUGACCAGUUUGCUACAAGGCAUCCUCCCAAGAUCAUGUCAUGGACGCCACCAAAACCUAUCCAAAUGGGGACAUUUGUGGAGAAGUUUGAUAGGCUAGGAGUGGUACACCUACCUGAGAAUGCAAGGAAGGAAUCCCUUCAGAGCUUAUUUGAACACAGAAGUGGAUUGUGUUCAGUUUGGCUGAGAACAGUACUCUCUUCCUUCAACAAUGGUUUAGUUAGAAUAAAAGAGUAUUCCCUUAAGACCAACAGAUUGCAGUUAAAUAUAUUAUAUCUUGAAUGAUUCCUAGCCAGUAGCCACAACUCGAAGUCUUUAACAGUCCAAGAAUGUUAGAUCCUAAACUACUGCCACACAAGCCACAUCAAGUUUAUCUGCAUAUCGAAAAAAUAUUUUUUCUGUGCUGGUAAUUCCUCUAUGUAGAAGGGAAAUUCACCAAAUACAGGUCAACAGAGGUCUUGAAAAAGUCCUGAAACUUCUACCAAGCUUUGCAAAAUUAGAAUUCACUUUUGCCAUCACUAAGGUAAACAAGAUCAAAACUCAAAUUGGUUUGGUUUUGUAUUAUAUUGCACCAAGCUCUCUGUAUAAAGCCAUGUUAACCCUUGUAAAUUUCUUAAUUGAAUAUAAUAUAUCUGCAAGAAACCAAAUAAACAGUACCAGCAAAAAACCUAUGUCACGCAGACUCUUCUAAAAGCACAAAGUACCAGCCGGUGUCGAACACUCAACGCUUGUGUACACACACGAAAUGUGUCUCACAUUUUUAAUUGGGCAUUCACAUAGAAAGCAUACUUACUAAUUAAUUCAGCCAUACUGUAGAUGAGAACUAAAGCUACAACACACUCAAAUUACGCAUACAAUGCUUUUGGACACUUUGUGAACAUCAUUUACUGUAGAAAAUAAAAGAAAUGUAUCAAGGAAUAGAAAUCGUUUACCAUGUCCCCACAUCCUUGACAUAGGAAUAACACAAAUCUGAUACUUAGACAUAUAUCUUGUCCCCGACCCCACCCCAACUCUAUUUAACAUUGCUAAAAAACAAUAACCAACCAAAGAAAUUGAAGACAAACUACAUAAACCAACAACAAAAUAAAUAAAUUAGGUGCAUUGAAAGCAACCACAGCUAAUUUUAUAAGUAGAUGCAUAGUGAACCCCUUACAAAAAAUUAAAAAUAUAGCACCCCGAACCAUACAAUAUCCAUGCAAUCAGUCUCAUACAUCAAACCACAUGAGAAAUGAACAAAGCCCCAAGUGAAUCUAGAAUUUUCCCUAAUUUAAAAAUUUUAACAAAACACUAAUAUUCCUUGAACAGAAAAAAUAAUCAUUAAAUACUUACUAAAACAACUUAAAUCAUAAAAAUAUGACAAAUUCCUGGAGCAUACAUAUUCAUGCAUACUCCAUAAAACUAGGCAUUAAUGAAGAAUUGUUGAGCAUUGUCAACAAUAUUUCUGGAGCAUGAACGUAUAAAUGGCAUAACAUAUAAAAUCACAAACAUAUAAAUUGAAUCUAAAAAUUAUCACAAAAAAAUCGUUAUUAGCAAAGUAGAAUCGAGACAGUGACAGACGCCUUGGAGUUCGUCGAGAGAGAGAGAGUGACCGAGUGAGGGAGAGCUAGUGAGCGAGAGAGAAAAUAUCAGAACGGAAAUGUUCUCUAUACAUAUAUUACAACUGUUUUUGAAUCUUCUAAAAUAUCGCUCGCUAUAUACGGUUAAAAUCCAUUUAAAUUAAUUUAAUAGUUGUUAUUUUAUUUAAAAUUAUUUUUUUUUCAAAAAAUAUUAUUUUUUUCUUCUUAAAAGUGUGGAAUUCACAUAAAUUAUGAUCCAAUGACAAAAAAAUCUCUAAAAUUGAACAUAUUUUUUACCAAUUAGAUAUAUUUUAGUAAGAUCCACACCCAAAAAAAUUAAAACACCUUUUUUUUUCCCUUUAUUUCUCCCAAACUAGCAAUAUUUUUUUUAAAUCAUUAUAAUUUUUAAUUUAUUUUUUAUUUUAUAAUAAUUUAUCUCUUCGUAUAUACAUACAAUGUAUGUUUUUUCUCUGAUAUUUAAUAUAUUUAUAUGCUUUUUAAGUUUUAGAAACUCUAACGAAUAUGUCUAAAUAUGAUUUUUUUUUUUAAAAAUUGUUGUCCAUGGUAGGAUAAUUACUAGUCCUAAAUAUAAGACAACGAAAUAUUUUUUAAAUCUUCUAACUUAUUUUUUCAGCUAUCUAUG
rnacentral:lncRNA from 1 species